rnacentral:rRNA from 1 species
GCUAAACGCGAAGAACCUUACCUGGUCUUGACAUGUCUGGAAUCCCGAAGAGAUUUGGGAGUGCCGCAAGGAACCAGAACACAGGUGCUGCAUGGCUGUCGUCAGCUCGUGUCGUGAGAUGUUGGGUUAAGUCCCGUAACGAGCGCAACCCUUAUCCUUAGUUACCAGCGAGUAAAGUCGGGGACUUUAAGGAGACUGCCGGUGAUAAACCGGAGGAAGGUGGGGAUGAUGUCAAGUCCUCAUGGCCCUUACGAGUAGGGCUACACACGUGUUACAAUGGCCGGUACAAAGGGUAGCCAACCCGCGAGGGGGAGCUAAUCUCAUAAAGCCGGUCGUAGUCCGGAUUGGAGUCUGCAACUCGACUCCAUGAAGCUGGAAUCGCUAGUAAUCGCGGAUCAGAACGCCGCGGUGAAUACGUUCCCGGGUCUUGUACACACCG